GGUUUUGGCUCAGCAGUAGAGCGCUUGCCUAGCACAUGUGAGGUCCUGGGUUCAAUCCUCAGCACCA
rnacentral:tRNA from 1 species